rnacentral:rRNA from 1 species
GAUGAACGCUGGCGGCGUGCUUAACACAUGCAAGUCGAACGGGAAACCUUUUAUUGAAGCUUCGGCAGAUUUAGCUGGUUUCUAGUGGCGGACGGGUGAGUAACGCGUGGGUAACCUGCCCUAUACAGGGGGAUAACAACCAGAAAUGGUUGCUAAUACCGCAUAAGCGCACAGGGCCGCAUGGUCCGGUGUGAAAAACUCCGGUGGUAUAGGAUGGACCCGCGUUGGAUUAGCCAGUUGGCACGGUAACGGCCUACCAAAGCGACGAUCCAUAGCCGGCCUGAGAGGGUGAACGGCCACAUUGGGACUGAGACACGGCCCAGACUCCUACGGGAGGCAGCAGUGGGGAAUAUUGCACAAUGGGGGAAACCCUGAUGCAGCGACGCCGCGUGAAGGAAGAAGUAUCUCGGUAUGUAAACUUCUAUCAGCAGGGAAGAUAGUGACGGUACCUGACGAAGAAGCCCCGGCUAACUACGUG